rnacentral:lncRNA from 1 species
AGUCAUUCCCAUUCUACUCUGAAAUUGCAAUCGGAAUGGGACUCCUCCCAACCAAACGGUUGGAAUGGGAGUCACCCAUUUCGAUUCCAAUUUCAGAUCCCCACUCUUUCCAACUAAACACCCUCGCAUAGUCUCAUGCAAAAAUUAAUUUUGUUAUAAAAUAUGCUUCUCGAAUCUAUUGUACCGUCCAUUUAGGGGGGACCAUUUCUCUCGUAUUUGAGGCCAAGCA